UAUUAUGCACAUUUUCUAGUCCA
rnacentral:miRNA from 2 species